rnacentral:rRNA from 1 species
UGGGCAACCUGCCCUCAGCUCUGGGAUAACUCCAAGAAAUUGGGGCUAAUACCGGAUAUGACCGCUGACCGCAUGGCCUGGUGGUGGAAAGAUUUAUCGGCUGGGGAUGGGCCCGCGGCCUAUCAACUUGUUGGUGGGGUAGUGGCCUACCAAGGCGACGACGGGUAGCCGGCCUGAGAGGGUGACCGGCCACACUGGGACUGAGACACGGCCCAGACUCCUACGGGAG